ensembl:lncRNA
UGUUCGAAGGAUUUUUCAGAGGCUUAUUCCCUGCCUGUUUCUCUUCAUCUUCUGAUAAACACUUGUGGUUUUCAUAACCUGCCAGUGAGUUCAGAGGGGACUGCCUGUUGCUCUAACUCCAGACAGAAUAAGCACCGUGCAAAAUCGCAAGAACACAGUAAAGAACCCCAGAGGUCAGAACAGUCAUUUACUGCUCUCAAAUUGCUCGUGGUGUUUGUGCUGUCUGGAAAUGAAGCUUGAAAGGACGUGGACUUAGAGCCAAAUACAGAGAACAGAGCUAAAGGAAGUGGCCCUAAGUUGAUCAAGAGCUUGAAGACGAAACCCUUGACCAAGAGGCUGGUGCUGUAGCAUGGGCAGACAGUGGGCUGCUAACCUCAGGAGGACUAAAUAUGGGAAGUGCCAUCUGUCGUAGAAGGUGUAGGGAGUUCUCCUGAUUGGGCUGGCCAAAGAUUCCUUGAAGUUCCGAUGCUGUGAUGGCUUGAUGAAGGUGUAAAUCCAGUCAAUCAAUUCCUGAAUGAACUAUCCUGGAACUUGAAGUGUCUGUGUUCUUGGCCAGGACUGGCUUCAAGAGAGCUGGUGACCAUCUGUGUGAUUGGAAGGUUGCCAGCAUAUGGCCUCUAUUGCUGUGUCAUGCUGCGUGAAAUCCUGCCAGCAAAGCCUCACAGGACUGAAACUGCCCUUCCAGGCAUGAGGAUGCAACCUGAGCUACAAAAACAGGAUUGGGAUAAUGAUCCACCAAACCCCAGACGACCACAGCACCCUGGAAAACCGGGCUCCAAACUUUUGCGAAUGGACCAGUCUGAUCCUCUUUGCCAGAGUGCACUCCUUCCAGCUACUACUCAGACCAGAGUCCUUUCCUUAUCUUCUCUUGCCUUCCAGUUAGAUCUUUCACCUGUACAUUCAUACUGUUGCUCAAGUUUUCAUUUCAGUUAUCACUAAAACAUUGACGGG